AUGAACGCUAGCGACAGGCCUAACACAUGCAAGUCGAGGGGCAGCACAAGGAGCAAUCUGAGGUGGCGACCGGCGCACGGGUGAGUAACACGUAUGCAACCUGCCUGUAAGCGGGGAAUAACCCGUUGGAAGACGGACUAAUACCGCAUAAUACUAAAUUACUGCAUGGUAAUUUAUUUAAACAUUUAUGGCUUACAGAUGGGCAUGCGCAUGAUUAGCUAGUUGGAGAGGUAACGGCUCCCCAAGGCAACGAUCAUUAGGGGUUCUGAGAGGAAGGUCCCCCACACUGGUACUGAGACACGGACCAGACUCCUACGGGAGGCAGCAGUGAGGAAUAUUGGUCAAUGGACGAGAGUCUGAACCAGCCAAGUCGCGUGCAGGAAGAAUGUCCUAUGGAUUGUAAACUGCUUUUGCAGGGGAAUAAAGUGCAUCACGUGUGAUGUUUUGUAUGUACUCUGCGAAUAAGGAUCGGCUAACUCCGUGCCAGCCGCCGC
rnacentral:rRNA from 1 species